rnacentral:rRNA from 1 species
AGGAUAAACGCUGGCGGCGUGCCUAACACAUGCAAGUCGAACGAGGGUGGGCUCUUCGGAGUUCACGCGAGUGGCGGACGGGUGAGGAACACGUGGGCAACCUACCUUUCAGUGAGGAAUACCGGCGAGAAAUCGCCGACAAGACCGCAUGGGCUUCGCGCUUGCAAAAGCGGGAAGCAAAGUUUGUCCGCAAGGGCAGACGCUGGGAAGAUGGGCCCCGCGGCCGAUUAGCUAGUUGGUGGGGUAAGAGCCCACCAAGGCGACGAUCGGUAGCUGGUCUGAGAGGACGAUCAGCCACACUGGGAUUGAGAACGGCCCAGACUCCUACGGGGGGCAGCAGUGAGGAAUUUUCCGCAAUGGGGGCAACCCUGACGGAGCAACGCCGCGUGCAGGAAGACGCUUUUCGGAGUGUAAACUGCUUUCUGUGGGACGAGCAAGGACGGUACCACCGGAAGAAGCCCCGGCUAACUACGCGCCAGCAGCCGCGGUAA